UGUGGUGGCAGCAGGCACAGCCCAGCCUCGAAAUGCAGAACGACGCCGGCGAGUUCGUGGACCUGUACGUGCCGCGGAAAUGCUCCGCUAGCAAUCGCAUCAUCGGUGCCAAGGACCACGCAUCCAUCCAGAUGAACGUGGCCGAGGUUGACAAGGUCACAGGCAGGUUUAAUGGCCAGUUUAAAACUUACGCUAUCUGCGGGGCCAUUCGUAGGAUGGGUGAGUCAGAUGAUUCCAUUCUCCGAUUGGCCAAGGCCGAUGGCAUCGUCUCAAAGUAAGGUUGGGGGCUCACAUUUGGGCAGAGUGAGUGGACCAGGACUACUCCAGAGGUGUGGUCUUAACGUUGUCCUUUUCCCCUGGUUCUAGGAACUUUUGACUGGAGAGAAUCACGGAUGUGGAAUAUUUGUCAUAAAUAAAUAAUGAAAACCU
rnacentral:sRNA from 1 species